rnacentral:rRNA from 1 species
UAACACCUGGAAACAGAUGCUAAUACCGGAUAACAACAGAUGAUGCCUAUCAACUGUUUAAAAGAUGGUUCUGCUAUCACUCUUGGAUGGACCUGCGGUGCAUUAGCUAGUUGGUAAGGUAACGGCCUACCAAGGCGAUGAUGCAUAGCCGAGUUGAGAGACUGAUCGGCCACAUUGGGACUGAGACACGGCCCAAACUCCUACGGGAGGCAGCAGCU